rnacentral:lncRNA from 1 species
AUGUUUAGUAAUAAUUUAUUUUCAGAUUUGUCCCUUGUAGUGUAAUUUGAAUCGCAUUUAACUUUUAGAAUCGAAUUCUUAUACUCCGACUGAUGAGUAUAUGGGUCGUUUGGUUCAGAUUCAAUAUAAAAGUUUGACAUAAAAAAUGACUGUUAGUGUUUUCUUUGAGAAUAUGCAUAUGUUCAAUUUUGUAUAUGUAUUUUGGUCACUGAGGGCUGGACCCUUUUGUUCAAACCAACACUAGGCUCAUUCUCAAGGCCCAGUAAGUGCCCAAGCAUUGUAAUACAACACGUUUUUCUGGACUAAGUAAUUAAUAGCCCUAAACAGUCACAAUAGUUAUCAAUACAGCCUGAGCAACACGUGCUCCUUGGCUGCCCCAAAAUCGAUUUAUUACGUGGUAAUUGGCCAUGAACGAGGUUAAAACCAUGUGGUGUUUCUCGAGUACAUAGUUUAUGUAUAAAACAAUUAAGAAAUUUAAGUAUCGACAAGAGUAGAAAAUUUAGCCUAUGUUAGAAUAUCCUUCUAAAGUGAAUCACAUUAGCAAUUACCAUGUGUAGGCUCCUUAAUUCAUUAAAACGAGUAAAAAAAGGAAGUGUCAUUUAGCAAAUUUCACGGCCUUCCUGUGAAUGUCAAAGACAUAGUUGCUAUAGGCGCGUGUUUACUAAAAUACCUUCCUAAUUUCGGGUGCGCAUUUAUGUGACCCAAAUCCUAAUCUCAACGAAGUUGGAACGUGUCAAAAUCUGCGGGUGCAUUUAUGUGAUGUGGUUUGAGGCGUGUUCUAACGACGUUGCAAUUCUCUUUAAAAUAAUAAUAAAAGCCGUUUAAAGUUAAAAAGCACAUGAGUUAAAACAUGUUCUAAAAUCAGAUAAUUUAAGCCAAAUAUAACAGUUGAACGACCAUGCUUGAACCACGGAACUCGGGAAUUCCUAACACCUUCUCCUGGGUUAACAGAAUUCCUUACUCGGAUUUCUGGUUCGCGGACUGUUAAACAGAGUCAUUCUUUCCUCGAUUUGGGAUUCUAACCGGUGACUUGGGACACUCUAAAUCUCCCAAGUGGCGACUCUAAAACUCUCUUAAAUAAAUGAAUCCCGU